CUUGCUUCUCUUGAGAGCGGCGGACGGGUGAGUAAUGCCUAGGAAUCUGCCUGGUAGUGGGGGAUAACGUCCGGAAACGGACGCUAAUACCGCAUACGUCCUACGGGAGAAAGCAGGGGACCUUCGGGCCUUGCGCUAUCAGAUGAGCCUAGGUCGGAUUAGCUAGUUGGUGGGGUAAUGGCUCACCAAGGCGACGAUCCGUAACUGGUCUGAGAGGAUGAUCAGUCACACUGGAACUGAGACACGGUCCAGACUCCUACGGGAGGCAGCAGUGGGGAAUAUUGGACAAUGGGCGAAAGCCUGAUCCAGCCAUGCCGCGUGUGUGAAGAAGGUCUUCGGAUUGUAAAGCACUUUAAGUUGGGAGGAAGGGCAGUAAAUUAAUACUUUGCUGUUUUGACGUUACCGACAGAAUAAGCACCGGCUAACUCUGUGCCAGCAGCCGCGGUAAUACAGAGGGUGCAAGCGUUAAUCGGAAUUACUGGGCGUAAAGCGCGCGUAGGUGGUUCGUUAAGUUGGAUGUGAAAUCCCCGGGCUCAACCUGGGAACUGCAUUCAAAACUGACGAGCUAGAGUAUGGUAGAGGGGUGGGUGGAAUUUCCUGUGUAGCGGUGAAAUGCGUAGAUAUAGGAAGGAACACCAGUGGCGAAGGCGACCACCUGGACUGAUACUGACACUGAGGUGCGAAAGCGUGGGGA
rnacentral:rRNA from 1 species